rnacentral:rRNA from 1 species
AUUGAACGCUGGCGGCAGGCCUAACACAUGCAAGUCGAACGAGUGGCGGACGGGUGAGUAAUGUCUGGGAACCUGCCUGAUGGAGGGGGAUAACUCCUGGAAACGGUAGCUAAUACCGCAUACCAUCAGAUGUUCCCAGAUGGGAUUAGCUAGUGGGUGGGGUAACGGCUCACCAAGUCGACGAUCCCUAGCUGGUCUGAGAGGAUGACCAGCCAAACGGGAACUGAGACACGGUCCAGACUCCUACGGGAGGCAGAAGUGGGGAAUAUUGCACAAUGGGCGCAAGCCUGAUGCAGCCAUGCCGCGUGUAUGAAGAAGGCCUUCGGGUUGUAAAGUACUUUCAGCGGGGAGGCGUUACCCGCAGAAGAAGCACCGGCUAACUACGUGCCAGCAGCCGCGGUAAUAC